UAGGGAAUAUUGGUAAUCUGCGAAAGCGGGAACCAGCAACGCCGCGUGCGCGAUGACGGCCUUCGGGUUGUAAAGCGCUUUUCAAGAGGAAGAGGAAGGACUGUACUCUUGGAAUAAGUCUCGGCUAACUACGUGCCAGCAGCCGCGGUAACA
rnacentral:rRNA from 1 species